rnacentral:rRNA from 1 species
UACGAAGGGGGCUAGCGUUGUUCGGAAUUACUGGGCGUAAAGCGCGCGCAGGCGGCUAUCCAAGUCAGUGGUGAAAGCCCGGAGCUUAACUCCGGAACUGCCAUUGAAACUGUUUAGCUUGAGGACGAGAGAGGUGAGUGGAAUUCCCAGUGUAGAGGUGAAAUUCGUAGAUAUUGGGAAGAACACCGGUGGCGAAGGCGCUACACUGGUGCUCGUUUCUGACGCUCAGGCGCGACAGCGUGGGGGAUCAAACAGG